rnacentral:sRNA from 1 species
AAAGAAAGAGGUGAAAGUUGGAGAAAAGAGAAGGCCAUGGCGAAGUAAUCCAUACGCUAAUUUGACCACUAAUCUAAUGGGUUUGAAUGGUAACAAACUUAAGCUUUAUACAGUUUUGAAUCGAUCAUAAAAACUUUAUUAAAAGUGUUACAAAAAGUUUUACUUUUAGCUUUUUUGUACAGCUUUUUUAUACAGCUUCUUCUAACAGUUUUGCACUAUUCCGAUAAAGCUAAUAGCUUCAGCUAACAGGUAAAAAACUUGUCCAGCUUUUGGUUACCAAUCAGACCCAAUAUCUUUGUAAUCUCUCCUAUAUACAAAAUGUUACAAAUGCAGAUAUCUUUAUUCAAAUAGUUACAUCUUGUAAUACCUUUUGUCAUGAUUGUUGU